UCGGCCCACCAAGGCAACGAUCAGUAGGGGUUCUGAGAGGAAGGUCCCCCCACAUUGGAAGUGAGACACGGUCCAAACUCUUACGGGAGGCAGCAGUGAGGAAUAUUGGUCACUGGGCGAGAGCCUGAACCAGCCAAGUAGCGUGCAGGAUGACGGCCCUAUGGGUUGUAAACUGCUUUUAUAAGGGAAUAAAGUGAGUCUCGUGAGACUUUUUGCAUGUACCUUAUGAAUAAGGACCGGCUAAUUCCGUGCCAGCAGCCGCGGUAAUACGGAAGGUCCGGGCGUUAUCCGGAUUUAUUGGGUUUAAAGGGAGCGUAGGCCGGAGAUUAAGCGUGUUGUGAAAUGUAGACGCUCAACGUUUGCAAUGCAGCGCGAACUGGUUUCCUUGAGUACGCACAAAGUGGGCGGAAUUCGUGGUGUAGCGGUGAAAUGCUUAGAUAUCACGAAGAACUCCGAUUGCGAAGGCAGCUCACUGGAGCGCAACUGACGGUGAAGCUAGAAAGUGCGGGUAUCGAACAGGAUUAGAUCCCCUGGUAGUCCGCACGGUAAACGAUGGAUGCCCGCUGUUGGUUUGAAUAGGUCAGCGGCCAAGCGAAAGCAUUAAGCAUCCCACCUGGGGAGUACGCCGGCAACGGUGAAACUCAAAGGAAUUGACGG
rnacentral:rRNA from 1 species